UCUUCACAGAGUAUAUCAGACAGUUUGGCGUUAGGCACCUGCAACAAUGUGACGGGAGCAGCAGCAAACAAAAAAUCCCAAGAUUUAAACCUGGAGAACCAGCCAAAAAUCUCAGCUUGUUCAAUAAAGGAAUCUAAAACUAGAGUCUCAAAGAAUAUCAUCUUUAGAAAACCUGCAAAAGUGAUUUUCAAUUUAGAUCAAACUCCACAGGAUUCAAACUGGGAACAACCAUGGAAGAAAAAUCUUUUAGAAAGAGUGCAGGCAAGAGCCCAAGCAAUGCAUCAGAAAAUCAUAGAUAAGGAAAAUCUGAAGAAGGAACUAGAGAAAAAGGUUGAAGAGAAACUCCCCAGGGAUAAUUUGGCCAAAGAGUGGUUUAAUACUGAAAACAUGACACUGAGCACUCGUGCGUAUUUGCUCGACAAACUUUUACCCACCUUAGUCCCUGGAAUGGAAAGAAUGUUAAUGCAAGUGGAAAAGAAGAAGCUUUUGGCAGAUGUUGAUAUUCCCACCAAGUUUGACCCAAUUAACCAUUUGGGAGAAUACUUAAUGAGAAACAACCCUAAUUAUAUCAAAGAUCCAGGACUGUCUGGUUAUCAGAGGGUGAUGAGAGAUAUUUCGGAAGACCUGAAGAUACAUGUUCCGAACACUACUUACAACAGAGUAUCCAAGAUAAAGGAGAAUAUUAAACAGAAACGAGAACAAAAAGAAUACAUAAACGACAUCAAAGCCAAGGUGGCCAACGCACGGAAACAGGCUCUGCAGGAGCAGUUCAAUGAGUGGAUUCUAGACCCCAAAGGAAUGAUUCCCAUGGUAGUGGUAAGGAGGAGGGUACCUGUGAAGGGUAAGGUGGAAGGGUGGUAAGAGCGAUUGCUAGAUCCUGAGCAAUCUAGAGUGCUUCUAGAGUGCUAGAAGCUUCCCUCUAAAUUUUCCAUCUUGCUGAGGUAAAUCUAGCCCACGAAAGUAAGUUUCUUCAAUUUUCUCUUGAACAUUAAAAAGAAAAUUCUAGGUAGAUUUCCAAAAUAUUAAUUCUGGCUGAAUUUCACAAACUUCAUUAUAGACAGACAUAGCUUCUGUUUGUUUUUCGUAUGUGUGUGACUAAUUACUUCUGCGGGCUAAACGACCAUGUCCUUUUUGUAGUGUGGAGUGAGGGUAUGGGCGGCACCAUGCAGCUUGUGGGAUUUUAACUCCCUGACGAGGGAUCGAACCUGGGCCCUCAGCAGUGAAAGUGUGGAGUCCUAACUGCUGGACCACCAGGGAAUUCCCUAAAAGACCAUGUCAUUAGCUCCAGAAAAUAACUGUGCUCUAAGAGAUAAAUAUGUUCUCUUAGGUAUAUGUAGGUGCUUCCCAGGUGGCACCAGUGGUAAAGAAUCUGCCUGCCAGUGCAGAAGUCGUAGGAGACUUGGGUGUGAUCCUUGGGUCGGGAAGAUCCCCUGGAGUAGGAAAUGGCUACCCACUCCAGUAUUCUGCCUGGGACAUUCUAUGGACAGAGGAGCCUGGUGGCUACAGUCCAUGGGUUCACAGAGCCAGACAUGACUGAGCACACAUAUACACACAGGUAUAUGUAGAUGUGAGAAUAAUUGUUGGUUAUAUACAAUACCCACCGCACUCCAGUACUCUUGCCUGGAAAAUCCCAUGGACGGAGGAGCCUGGUAGGCUGCAGUCCAUGGGGUCACUAAGAGUCGGACACGUCUAAGCGACUUCACUUUCACUUUCACGCACUGGAGAAGGAAAUGGCAACCCACUCCAGUAUUCUUGCCUGAAGAAUCCCAGGGACGGGGGAGCCUGGUGGGCUGCCAUCUGUGGGGUCGCACAGAGUCAGACACGACUGAAGUGACUUAGCAGCAGCAGCAGCAGCAUAUACAAUACCAAGUAUAUUUCCAGUUCAAAGUGAAUUGCUAAAAAUACACCAAGGAGGACAAGCCUCAGACUGGAAGAAAAUAUUUACAAAAGACAUGGCUGAUAAAGGACAAUUAUCCAAAAUAUACAAAGAGCUCUUGAAAUCAACAAUAAGAAAACAAAUAACAGGUUUUAAAAGGGGCAAAAGACCUGAACAGACACUUCACCAAAGAUAUACAGAUGGCAAAAAAGCAUAUGAAAAGAUGUUCCACACAUGUCAUUGAGGAAAUGCAAUUGAAAACAGCCAUGAGAUACCACUACACACCUAUCAGAAUCCAGAACACUGACAACACCAAAUGCUGGCAAAGAUGUGCAGCAGCAGAAACUCUCAUUCAUUAUUGGUAGAAAUACAAAAUGGUUAUGGCCACUUUGGAACACAGCUUGGCACACAAAAGCUGACACAUGGAUGUUUACUGCAUAAUUCAGUUCAGUUCAGUUCAAUUAGCAAAACUUGGAAGCAACCAAGAUGUCCUUCAGUGCAUAAGUCGCCUCAGUCAUGUACAACUCUUUCUGACCCCAUGGACUGUAGCCUGCCAGACUCCUCUGUGCAUGGGAUUCUCCAGGCAAGGAUACUGGAGCAAGUUGCUAUGCCCUCCUCCAGGGGAUCUUCCUGACCCAGGGAUUGAAUCUGCAUCUCUUAUGUAUCCUGCAUUGCAGCUGGAUUCCUUAUCACUAACACCACCUGGGAAGCCAUCCGUCAGUAGGUGAAUAAUAAAUAAAUGUGGUACAUCCAGAUAGUGGAAUAUUAUUCUGUGCUAAAAAGAAAUGAGCUAUCAAGCCAUGAAAAGAUGUGGGAGAACCUUACAUGCAUAUUACUAAGUAAAAGAAGCCAAUCUGAAAAGGCUAUAUACCGUAUGAGUCUAAUUCUAUAACAUUCCAGAAAAAGUAAAAUUAUGAAGACAGGAAAGGUGGGGUGUGGACAGAGAUGAAUAGACAGAACAUAGAAGAGUUUAAGGUGGUG
rnacentral:lncRNA from 1 species